rnacentral:rRNA from 1 species
GAUGAACGCUGGCGGUAUGCUUAACACAUGCAAGUCGAACGGACUCUUCGGAGUUAGUGGCGGACGGGUGAGUAACGCGUGAGAAUCUGGCUUUGGGUUCGGGACAACCACUGGAAACGGUGGCUAAUACCGGAUGUGCCGAGAGGUAAAAGAGAAAUUGCCUGAAGAUGAGCUCGCGUCUGAUUAGCUAGUUGGUGAGGUAAAGGCUCACCAAGGCAGCGAUCAGUAGCUGGUCUGAGAGGAUGACCAGCCACACUGGGACUGAGAAACGGCCCAGACCCCUACGGGAGGCAGCAGUGGGGAAUUUUCCGCAAUGGGCGAAAGCCUGACGGAGCAAUACCGCGUGAGGGAAGAAGGCUCUUGGGUUGUAAACCUCUUUUCUUAGGGAAGAACAAAAUGACGGUACCUAAGGAAUCAGCAUCGGCUAACUCCGUG